rnacentral:rRNA from 1 species
UACGAAGGGGGCUAGCGUUGCUCGGAAUGACUGGGCGUAAAGGGCGCGUAGGCGGCUUGCACAGUCAGGCGUGAAAUUCCUGGGCUCAACCUGGGGACUGCGCUUGAGACGUGUGGGCUUGAGUGGGGAAGAGGGUCGUGGAAUUCCCAGUGUAGAGGUGAAAUUCGUAGAUAUCGGGAGGAACACCAGUGGCGAAGGCGGCGACCUGGGCCAAUAUUGACGCUGAGGUGCGAAAGCGUGGGGAGCAAACAGG